CCUACGGGGCGCAGCAGUAGGGAAUCUUCCACAAUGGACGAAAGUCUGAUGGAGCAACGCCGCGUGAGUGAAGAAGGGUUUCGGCUCGUAAAGCUCUGUUGGUAGUGAAGAAAGAUAGAGGUAGUAACUGGCCUUUAUUUGACGGUAAUUACUUAGAAAGUCACGGCUAACUACGUGCCAGCAGCCGCGGUAAUACGUAGGUGGCAAGCGUUGUCCGGAUUUAUUGGGCGUAAAGCGAGUGCAGGCGGGUUCAAUAAGACGAUGUGUAAGGCUUUGGGGUAAACGGGGAAAU
rnacentral:rRNA from 1 species